rnacentral:rRNA from 1 species
GACGAACGCUGGCGGCGUGCUUAACACAUGCAAGUCGAACGGAAAGGCCCUGCUUUUGUGGGGUGCUCGAGUGGCGAACGGGUGAGUAACACGUGAGUAACCUGCCCUUGACUUUGGGAUAACUUCAGGAAACUGGGGCUAAUACCGGAUAGGAGCUCCUGCUGCAUGGUGGGGGUCGGAAAGUUUCGGCGGUUGGGGAUGGACUCGCGGCUUAUCAGCUUGUUGGUGGGGUAGUGGCCUACCAAGGCUUUGACGGGUAGCCGGCCUGAGAGGGUGACCGGCCACAUUGGGACUGAGAUACGGCCCAGACUCCUACGGGAGGCAGCAGUGGGGAAUAUUGCACAAUGGGCGGAAGCCUGAUGCAGCAACGCCGCGUGCGGGAUGACGGCCUUCGGGUUGUAAACCGCUUUCGCCUGUGACGAAGCGUGAGUGACGGUAAUGGGUAAAGAAGCACCGGCUAACUACGUG